rnacentral:rRNA from 1 species
UACGUAGGUCCCGAGCGUUGUCCGGAUUUAUUGGGCGUAAAGCGAGCGCAGGUGGUUUAUUAAGUCUGGUGUAAAAGGCAGUGGCUCAACCAUUGUAUGCAUUGGAAACUGGUAGACUUGAGUGCAGGAGAGGAGAGUGGAAUUCCAUGUGUAGCGGUGAAAUGCGUAGAUAUAUGGAGGAACACCGGUGGCGAAAGCGGCCUGCUGGACGAUGACUGACGUUGAGGCUCGAAAGCGUGGGGAGCAAACAGG